rnacentral:rRNA from 1 species
AGAGUUUGAUCAUGGCUCAGAACGAACGCUGGCGGCAUGCCUAACACAUGCAAGUCGAACGAGACCUUCGGGUCUAGUGGCGCACGGGUGCGUAACGCGUGGGAAUCUACCCUUGGGUUCGGAAUAACUCAGAGAAAUUUGAGCUAAUACCGGAUGAUGUCGAAAGACCAAAGAUUUAUCGCCCAAGGAUGAGCCCGCGUAGGAUUAGCUAGUUGGUGAGGUAAAGGCUCACCAAGGCGACGAUCCUUAGCUGGUCUGAGAGGAUGAUCAGCCACACUGGGACUGAGACACGGCCCAGACUCCUACGGGAGGCAGCAGUGGGGAAUAUUGGACAAUGGGCGAAAGCCUGAUCCAGCAAUGCCGCGUGAGUGAUGAAGGCCUUAGGGUUGUAAAGCUCUUUUACCCGGGAUGAUAAUGACAGUACCGGGAGAAUAAGCCCCGGCUAACUCCGUGCCAGCAGCCGCGGUAAUACGGAGGGGGCUAGCGUUGUUCGGAAUUACUGGGCGUAAAGCGCGCGUAGGCGGCUAUUCAAGUCAGAGGUGAAAGCCCGGAGCUCAACUCCGGAAUUGCCUUUGAAACUAGAUAGCUUGAAUCACGGAGAGGUCAGUGGAAUUCCGAGUGUAGAGGUGAAAUUCGUAGAUAUUCGGAAGAACACCAGUGGCGAAGGCGACUGACUGGACGUGUAUUGACGCUGAGGUGC